CCUACGGGUGGCAGCAGUGAGGAAUAUUGGUCAAUGGGCGCGAGCCUGAACCAGCCAAGUCGCGUGAGGGAUGACUGCCCUACGGAUUGUAAACUUCUUUUAUCAAGGAAUAAAGUCAGGCACGUGUCCCUUUUUGUAUGUACUUUAUGAAUAAGGAUCGGCUAACUCCGUGCCAGCAGCCGCGGUAAUACGGAGGAUGCGAGCGUUAUCCGGAUUUAUUGGGUUUAAAGGGAGCGUAGAUGGGUUGUUAAGUCAGUUGUGAAAGUUUGCGGCUCAACCGUAAACUUGCAAUUGAUACUGGCAGCCUUGAGUACAGGUGAGGUAGGCGGAAUUCGUGGUGUAGCGGUGAAAUGCUUAGAUAUCGCGAAGAACUCCGAGUGCGAAGGCAGCCUGCUGGACUGUAACUGACGCUGAUGCACGAAAGUGUGGGUAUCAAACAGGAUUAGAUACCCGGGUAGUC
rnacentral:rRNA from 1 species